rnacentral:misc_RNA from 1 species
GUGAAUCAUCGAAUCUUUGAACGCACAUUGCGCCCUAUGGUAUUCCGUAGGGCAUGCCUGUCUGAGCGUCAGCUCCCACCCUCUCAAGUCUUCUUUUUUCAUGAAAAUGAGGAGAUUUGGAUUACCUUGGGGAAGUGUCAUUUUAUAGUGCUGCUCCUCAGAAAUCCAUAGGCAGUAUGGUCAAACCUGAACCAGGCGUAAUAAUUCUAUAAAAUCGUCUACAAAGGGAUGUCUGUAUUAGUCUUUAACCCAUUUAUUUUUACUUGGGUGACCUCAGAUCAGGUAGGGAUACCCGCUGAA